rnacentral:rRNA from 1 species
AUUGAACGCUGGCGGCAUGCCUUACACAUGCAAGUCGAACGGCAGCACGGGAGCUUGCUCCUGGUGGCGAGUGGCGAACGGGUGAGUAAUAUAUCGGAACGUGCCCUGGAGUGGGGGAUAACUAGUCGAAAGAUUAGCUAAUACCGCCUACGAUCUAAGGAUGAAAGUGGGGGAUCGCAAGACCUCAUACUCGUGGAGCGGCCGCUACUUGAUUAGCUAGUUGGUGAGGUAAAGGCCCACCAAGGCAUCGAUCAGUAGCUGGUCUGAGAGGGCGACCAGCCACACUGGGACUGAGACACGGCCCAGACUCCUACGGGAGGCAGCAGUGGGGAAUUUUGGACAAUGGGCGCAAGCCUGAUCCAGCAAUGCCGCGUGAGUGAAGAAGGCCUUCGGGUUGUAAAGCUCUUUUGUCAGGGAAGAAACGGUGAGGGUUAACACCUCUUGCUAAUGACGGUACCUGAAGAAUAAGCACCGGCUAACUACGUGCCAGCAGCCGCCGCCG